AGUGAACGCUGGCGGUAGGCCUAACACAUGCAAGUCGAACGGCAGCACAGGAGAGCUUGCUCUCUGGGUGGCGAGUGGCGGACGGGUGAGGAAUACAUCGGAAUCUACUUUUUCGUGGGGGAUAACGUAGGGAAACUUACGCUAAUACCGCAUACGACCUACGGGUGUAAGCAGGGGACCUUCGGGCCUUGCGCGAUUGAAUGAGCCGAUGUCGGAUUAGCUAGUUGGCGGGGUAAAGGCCCACCAAGGCGACGAUCCGUAGCUGGUCUGAGAGGAUGAUCAGCGACACUGGAACUGAGACACGGUCCAGACUCCUACGGGAGGCAGCAGUGGGGAAUAUUGGACAAUGGGCGCAAGCCUGAUCCAGCCAUACCGCGUGGGUGAAGAAGGCCUUCGGGUUGUAAAGCCCUUUUGUUGGGAAAGAAAUCCAGCUGGCUAAUACCCGGUUGGGAUGACGGUACCCAAAGAAUAAGCACCGGCUAACUUCGUGCCAGCAGCCGCAGUAA
rnacentral:rRNA from 1 species